rnacentral:lncRNA from 1 species
AUCUAACAUUUAAAAGUACAUGUGGACCUUUAAGAUUACUUGAAGAUGAUAGAGAGUGACAACAAUGUUUGGAAGAAGCAUCAAGAAUACAAUUGGAUCUCAAUUGAGGACAUUAUUUGUUAUUUUGUUAUUACAUAAUUUUUUUUAAUAUCCAUUAAAUCUAUAAAAAAGAUUUUGAGAAAGCAUCUUAAAUGAUCAUAAUGCCCAUUUGUAAAGAAAAA